CCCUUAGAUGUUCUGGGCUGCACGCGCGCUACACUGAUGCGUUCAACGAGUGUAUAACCUUGCCCGAUAGGGUUGGGUAAUCUUUUGAACACGCAUCGUGAUGGGGAUAGAUUAUUGCAAUUAUUAAUCUUCAACGAGGAAUUCCUAGUAAUGAUGAAUCAUCAGUUCAUCGUGAUUACGUCCCUGCCCUUUGUACACACCGCCCGUCGCUCCUACCGAUUGAAUGGUCCGGUGAAGCGUUCGGACCGUGGCCUUUGGACGGUUCGCCGUCUGUUGGCUGCGGGAAGUUCGUUAAACCUUAUCAUUUAGAGGAAGGAGAAGUCGUAACA
rnacentral:rRNA from 1 species